rnacentral:lncRNA from 1 species
UGCUUUCCUUUUCAUUUUACGCAACAACCUAUAUUGGAAGAGCCGUGAGACAAACCUUCUACUUCUUCUUACAAUGUUUCAUCCAACAAAGAAUUAAUGUCAACCACUUUUUCUUAUGUCUUUUUUUAAAUAAGAUAAAUGUAAAACCAUCCUUAUAAUAUAAAAAUUAUUUUCUUUCUUUCUCAUAACCUUCCUAAAUCAUUAUAUUUUAAAUUACAUAAUUCAAAACUAUAUUAUAGAUUUUAAAGUCCAAAACUCUUAUUUUAA